rnacentral:rRNA from 1 species
UACGGGGGGGGCAAGCGUUGUUCGGAAUUACUGGGCGUAAAGGGCUCGUAGGUGGCCAACUAAGUCAGACGUGAAAUCCCUCGGCUUAACCGGGGAACUGCGUCUGAUACUGGAUGGCUUGAGAUUGGGAGAGGGAUGCGGAAUUCCAGGUGUAGCGGUGAAAUGCGUAGAUAUCUGGAGGAACACCGGUGGCGAAGGCGGCAUCCUGGACCGACACUGACGCUGAGGCGCGAAAGCUAGGGGAGCAAACGGG